rnacentral:rRNA from 1 species
UACGGAGGGUGCAAGCGUUAUCCGGAUUCACUGGGUUUAAAGGGUGCGUAGGAGGGCAGGUAAGUCAGUGGUGAAAUCUCCAAGCUUAACUUGGAACUGCCGUUGGUACUAUAUCGUCUUGAAUGUUGUGGAGGUGAGCGGAAUAUGUCAUGUAGCGGUGAAAUGCUUAGAUAUGACAUAGAACACCAAUUGCGAAGGCAGCUCACUACACAAUUAUUGACUCUGAGGCACGAAAGCGUGGGGAUCAAACAGG